rnacentral:rRNA from 1 species
GAUGAACGCUAGCGGCAGGCCUAACACAUGCAAGUCGAGGGAGAAGCCUUUCGGGGCAGAAACCGGCGCACGGGUGCGUAACGCGUAUGCAACCUACCUUUCACAGGGGGAUAGCCCGAAGAAAUUUGGAUUAAUACCCCAUAAUAUUGUUGGAUGGCAUCAUCUGAUAAUUAAAACUGCGGUGGUGAAAGAUGGGCAUGCGUCCUAUUAGCUAGUUGGAGUGGUAACGGCACCCCAAGGCUACGAUAGGUAGGGUCCUGAGAGGGAGAUCCCCCACACUGGUACUGAGACAGGGACCAGACUCCUACGGGAGGCAGCAGUGAGGAAUAUUGGUAAAUGGUCGGAAGACUGAACCAGCCAUGCCGCGUGCAGGAAGAAUGCCUUAUGGGUUGUAAACUGCUUUUAUAUGGGAAGAAUAAGGUGUACGUGUACAUUGAUGACGGUACCAUAUGAAUAAGCAUCGGCUAACUCCGUG